CUAACGGUUCUUCUCAGAACCAAACAUGUAAAUAAGUCAAUAGUC
rfam:Soboliphyme baturini genome assembly, scaffold: SBAD_contig0000144